AGAGCAUGAAGAAUCAACCAAGUCGCAUUUUGGGUAAGUAAGGGGCAGAUCCGUUCAAAUGUUUGUUUUGAGUUAUAAAAGGCUAGUUUUGUUAACAGACUCUGCAGGGAGAGCAACCGUGUGGAGGAUUAGUAUUAUGAGGUGGGAAGAUAAGCUCUGUGAAAUUGGGAAUUCAUCCAGUCGGAAGAGAGGCAACAGGUGGCCGUUCUAGGACAGCUGGGGAGAGAUCAGUGAAGACAAGGUACAAUUAGGUAUCUUAAGCAUAGACAUGUUAGUAGAAUCCAAGCCAACAGAGGCAAUAUAGAUAGCUUGGAGGAAAGAUAAGACGGGGGGAUGAUAGAAACAUUUAAAUACAUAAAGGGAAUAAACACAGUAAAAGAGGAGACUAUAUUUAAAAGAAGAAAAACUACCACAACAAGAGGACAUAGUCUUAUAUUAGAGGGGCAAAGGUUUAAAAAUAAUUUCAGGAAGUAUUACUUUACAGAGAGGGUAGUGGACGCAUGGAAUAGCCUUCCAGCUAAAGUGGUAAAGGUUAACACGGUGAAGGAGUUUAAGCAUACGUGGGAUAGGCAUAAGGCAAUCCUAGACUUAAAGGGAAACUCCAGUGCCAGGAAAACAAUUGCGGGGGGGCAGUGGAAUGAAGAAAACCAUAAAAGGUCAGUAGUGCGAAGUCUGAUGUGGUGAGAUGAAGUGGUUUUGGUGCCUGGAGUGUUCCUUUAAACUACUAUAGACUUAUAGACCCACCUCCUUCUGCUUUAUACAUACAGAUGACUACCUGCAAAUGGUUAAUUAAAACUGAAUAUGUGCAUAUGUUUACAACGAAACCACAAACAAGAUAGAGAUAUAUAUCUUUUUUUUUUGUCUACAGUAAAUUCCAUAAAAUCUAUCUUGCAUUAUGAUAAGUGUACUAUGUAAUCUUUUUUUUUUUUUUGGCUGGAUUGUAAGGAAUUUCAGGAAUGUAUAAACACUUGCUUGGCUUUGAUAAAGUUUGCUUUGUUCCUCUUGUGACCUGACCUAUUGAGACUGGUUUCCUAGGACAUUUAGAACUUUUUUUGGUUACUAUUUUCACCUAUUUAUAAAUUUGUCUUGCAUUAUAUUUUCCCUUUUCAGUGCUGAAAUAUGUUUGCAUAUUGUUUUAAAGUGUAUUUAAUAUCUAACUGCAUCCACAAGGUUAUGAAACAUAUUUUAGUUUAUGUUAAAUUCUUGCUCACACCAGUGAAUCUCAGGUAUCAAUUGAUAUAUAGAGCUCCAUUUUUAGUGGCUCCAGAUUGACAGAUGAGCUGUAUGCUGUGCUCAAAUUGAGCCCUGUAUACAGCUUUUAAAAUCGGUAUUUAAAUCUCUGCUGACUGUAAUGCAGUAUAAGCACGGUUACCUUUCUGCUCCCUGUAAUAUUGAAAAUGGCCAUUACAUUGUGGUCACUUACUAUUCUCUACUGUUUUAACUAGGAGACCAAUCUGCUAUCAGUACUGAUAUUAGCAGAGCUUUUCCUUAAGGAAGUUGAAGUAGGAUUUCAGAGGUAAUGCUAUUUUUAGGGUCAUGGUUUAGGGUAGGUAUACAGUUGGUGUAAGCAUAGUGUUAGGAUUCGUAUAGCAAAAAGUGGAAGGUUGGUAAAUGGUUAGCAUUAACUACCAAAACAUGUUUUGGAUCCUAGACAUAGGAAGCAUUUAACAAUGAGGACUAAUACUGGAAUUUAUUUUGAGGAAGUACAAAUCACUUCCUUCCAGCUUACCAAUGAGCCGCGCAGGAGAGGGGAGGGAGACUGAGAGAUAGAGAGCCUAGACCAGACUCCCAUAAUACUCAGCCAGAUGCCACUUGACCCCAAGGAAGCCACCCUCCUGCACCGAAGAGCAAUGGAAGAAAGGUGGCGACUAAAAAUAUGUAAUGUGAUCUUUGUGUAUGUGUAUUAUCUCUGUGUAUUGUCUGUGUUAUCUGUAUGUGUGUCGGUGUUUAAUGAUCUGUAUGAUUAUCAUUAUGUGUAUUUUUGUGUCUGUGUAUAUUCAUUUGUGGGAUUGUGUAUUUGUACGUGUUAGUGUGUGUUUCAUUGUAUCAGCAUGUGUCAUUGUAUGUCUGUGUAUCUGCCUAUCUGUACCUAUGUGUCUGUGUUUCCGGAUGUGUCUGUGUGUGUGGCAGUACAUAUGUAUAUGUAAAAAGGAAGUAAUAGGCUCUCACUAUAGAAUCCUGCAAAAGAUAGUUAUAGGCAGCAGUAACUAACUAGUUCAAGGAUUCCCAAACCUUGUAAAGUGAAAUGUAAGAAAGAAAAGGGGAAAUGGCACCCAAAAUGUGAGUACAAGGUAAUAUAAGUACACAAGUCUUUAGGGGUAUGUACACAAUUGACCUCAAAAAAGAAUAAAGACAAGAAAUAAUAGUGUAGUACUGUAUAUACAAUAGAUAUGUCGUGGAUAAGCUUUUGUAAUUUCCACUCACAUUCUAAUGAGCUAACUUGGAUCUCUGUUGUAUUGCGCAUGGACAGAACAAUUCUCAUCUAAGGAUAUAUGGUGAUGUAGUCGUCACGAAUGCCCCAAUUAGAAUGCGAUGUGCAGGACAUGUAUAAAAGUAAAUACAAAAGGCAACCUCCAAUGGUGAAGUAAGUACUGGUGGAAAGUCAAGUGAAUAAAUAAAGUAAUGUACUUACAUUUACCAGAGCAGAAGUUGCUCUAGUUUUAACAGCAUGGAUGGUAUAAUCCCCACCUAGGAAUAUGAUGGUACCAGGAAGCAGUAGAUGGAUAAAUAAAACGUGUGUGUAUCUUCCAAGUCGAAUUAAUAAAAGACCCAGGACAUACUUGAAAACGAGAGAAAUCUCAAUGUAUCUUUCCUGGUAAAAUAUUUUAUAAAUAAAAUUAGCUCAAAAUAAAAAUCAGCGUUUCAGUCUGUAUCACAGACUUUCAUCAGGCCAGUGUUUGUGACUAAGUGGUUACUAAAAAAGACUGGACAUACCCCAUUUGCAAUACCUUGGGUUGUCUUCUUUUGCAAAUGGUAUGCCAUCAUGGGGGUAAUUCUCAUUCCUGGGCUACCAUACGCUCUCAAAGGCAACGUAACCAACCUGGCCAUUUUCAAUGUAAAAAUAUUUGACCCAUAUAUUUGACCCUGUAACUUUCAAAAACGCUAUAAAACCUGUACAUGGGGGGUACUGUUUUACUCGGGAGACUUUGAACACAAAUAUUAGUGUUUAAAAACAGGAAAACGUAUCACAACAAUUAUAUCAUCAGUAAAAGUGCUGUUUGUGUGUGAAAAAUGCAAAAAAAGUCACUUUCACUGACAAUAUCAUCGCUGUGAUAUGUUUUACUGUUUUGAAUCACUAAUAUUUGUGUUCAGUGAAGUCUCCCGAGUAAAACAGUACCCCCAUGUACAGGUUUUAGGGUGUCCUAGAACGUUACAAGGUAAAAUACAGUGCUAGCAAAUUUUAAUUCUAGACUUUCGACCCUAGAUUGGCAGGCAGGUCCCUCAAAUUGCAAUCAAUAAAAUUACUUAAUUAUGUAAAAAUAUUACAUAAAUACGCAUGUAGAAUUUAAAUAUAUAUGCAUAUUUAUAUAUUUUAAGUAUAUUUAUGUAAUUUUGUAUAUGGACAUAUGUAUAUUUCGUAUUAUUUCUAUUUAUUUAUAUGUACAUAGAUAUAUACAAUUUCAUUCUAAGUGUAUUUUGAUAUAAAUAUAUAUAUAUAUAUAUAUAUAUAUAUAUAUAUAUAUUAAUAUCAAAAUACAGUUAGAAUAAAAUUUCAUAUAGAUAUAUAAUUUUGUAAAAAUUUUUAUUAAAGUUUUUAUUUAAUUUAAAUUAUUUGUAUUUUAUAAAAAAUAUAUAUUUAUACACAAUAUAUAGUUAUUCUAUAUAUUAUAUAUACGUGUGUAAUUUAAUUAUAAGUAUUUUUAUAUUAAUAUAUGUAUAUAUUAAUAUAAAAAAACACUUAGCAUGACAUAUAUAUAUAUAUAUAUAUAUAUAUAUAUAUAUAUAUAAUAUAUAUAUUUUUUUUAUGAUUUUACACUUGCAGGCAGACACAUGGACACCUAUUCUAACCAUGUGACCGCUCUGUUGAGCGAUCACAUGGCCACAAGGGUCCUAAUCCGCCAUGGGGAGACUGUCUGUCUGGGCUGCAGGCAGUCUCCCCACACCGGGAGCAUCGCCGAUCGCCGCCGUGGGAAUGACGGCGAUCGGGUAAGUACAUUUCACUGUUAGGACGGUUCAGAAUCGUCAGCGGUCGGCAAUGCAAAAAUGCCGAUGAUGGUCCUGAACCGUCCUCGGUCCUAAAGGGGUUAAAGGGUGUCUUCAGAGAAAAGGCAGUGUUUACACUCAGACAGCCAGUAGAGAUGCUUCCUGUGUCACUUCAGUUCAGCUUCUACACGCUCUGCAUGGAGGCACUGAACGCUCCCCAUAGAGAUACAUUUACACUACAGUCUCUAUUCCCCACUACAGCCUUUCUCCCACCACUAAAAUCGCUACUGUAGGUCAUAUUCCCCCAUAAGAGUCAUUGCCUCUUCCUUACAGCUCCUAUUUCCCCACUACAGCCCCUAACCACCCAACACCCACCCUACAGUCUCUAUCUCCAAUUACAACCCCUUUACCCCACUACAGCACCUAUUCGCCCAUUUGAGCCUCUGUCACCCAUUUGAGCCCUUAUCUCCCCACUACAGACCCAGUCCCACACACAGCUCCUGUCCCCCACUGAAACUCCUACCCCCCAAUCCCCAUUACACUCCAUUUUUUUUAGUACAAGGAUGUAGAUGUGCGUGAUGUAUUUGUGAAGCUAGCAAGUUGGUGGUUACAAGGGGGCUCCAUGAUCUCCUAUUGCCCUUGGGACACAUGAGUUGUCAGACUGCUCCUGAUUUUACCAAUGUGGUAUAUUUUUAUGUUUGUUAGCUUUCCACCAACUAAUCAAUAAUGAGAUUUAUUGGAAACUAUUCCACCAACAAAUCAAUGAGAUUUAUUGGAAACUAUAUUCAUAAUUAAUUAUAAUCUAUUUUUAUCGAUUUAAUUGUCGUAGCUCUACUGUGAUUUAGAAAUUUAGUUUUAUUUUUCACGCUUCUCGGAUAAAUGUUUGUUAAAUAUGGGCCGAAACGUAACUAUCAGAAACAUCAGUAGCAGUUGGGUGUGUUCUUGAUCAGCAAGAGGACCUAUUAAAAAUAACCUAUUAAAAAAACAUUUUUAGUGGCUCAGAGCCACUAGAGGCAUGGUUUCAGACAAAUGUAAGCUUUGUUGUUUUGGCAAUGUUUUACUUUUUGUCUGAAAAAAUGCUGUAUGCACAAAAAUUUAUCCAUUAACCUUGAAAAAGACCUCAGUGGCGAUCGAAACGUUGCUUGUUUAUCAUGUUUUUCGAAUAAAACUGCUGCAUAAGCUAUUCUGAGUGCCUGGACUACAUUUUGUGUUUACCCAAUGGUGUGGGGUUAUCCAGUCUCAGGUUUGACUGCACCAGGACCAGUAUAGGAGUACGGUGUCCUUUUGUUAUCUGCAUAAAGGACAGGUGCAGGACAGAAAAUGCAUAAGAAAGAUAUCGGUGUAAGAAGUAAUAAAGAACCUAUAAAAGUAGAGAAUUCAGAAGAAUCCUAACUUCUAAUUAAAUAGAUAUGCACACUCCCUACUUAUGGAGUAUAUAGACCUCUGUGUGUUACAAAGCUCUCUGUUCAGAAGGUUAAACUCGAUGGAUUUGAGUCUCCAUAUUCAACUUAGAUUAUUUUGUGCAGCAACCUUUUUUCAUAUUGUGUAGAAACCAUAUGUUAUCUUUGAAGGAACCCAAAAUUAGAGGGCGUCCUUUCCAAAAUCUGGCUAAUCUAUGCAUUAUUGUGGUGCACAGUCAAUGAGGUAAUGUCAGGGAAUUGAGUUGCGUUUCAAAUGAAUUGUCACUGGUGAAUGAAGCUUUUUUAAAGAGAGCGGUAUGUCCAGAACCUGGAUAACCUUUUUAAUUUAUUUUAUUUUUUUUAACUUAUUAUCUGUACCCUGCUCUGAAAAUGCCCAAAACAAAAUGUUGGUAUUUAGAGGCAAAGAUAGAUUUAUAUAUAUAUAUAUAUAUAUAUAUAUAUAUAUAUAUAUAUUUUUUUUUUUUUUUUUUUUUUUUGUUUGUAUUACCAAACUUUUGUUAUGAAUGUGUAUAAAUGAAGAAUCAUUACUUGGUGAAUACAAAGACUGUGAGCUGUGCGCUUAAAUAAUUAUAGAAAAUAGUGUAUAAGUGACAGCUGCUACACACUUUAGUGGGAAUCUCCCUUACUCCCUAAAUGAUACAGAUGAAAGAAAGGUCUAUAUCCGACUAGGUUUGAAAUACAUCAGACCAGGUCGUAUUUAUGAGUGGAGCGCUAUAGAUAGGUGGAGAAAGAGUAAUUUACACUUACUCCAAACAGACUAAUUGUUCAAAUAUUGGUAGAACAUAAAUGGGGGAGAGAGGAGAAAAUAAUCACAUAGUAUAAAUCUGUGCUGGAUACGUGGCAAAAAAGACUAUGAGAUGUACACUCACAUGGAUAAGAGCCUCUAGAUGGACAGGCUCAAAAAUCACAUCUGCAUCUGGUGGCACUUGACCCUUGUUGGUCCCAGUAAAUAUCCUCAGAAGAUAGAAAUAAAACAGACCGGUUAUGGUGUUAGUAUUUUGUGCUAUAUGAACAAUGACUUAAUUAAAAAUGCAAAUAAAUAUUCACCUUUUUCAAAAGCCAAUGGAACCUGGCUCUGGGUGAUAGCGCUUGGGUGCCUAUAAAGAAGACACCAACCCUUCUUUGGAAGCCGAAGUGGAGGAAGCCAGAGUAGGACUAAAUUAAUUUAUUAUGCAAUAAAAUACAAAGAAACAAGUAAAAUAAAAAAUAUGUAAUAAAAUCUAUGCAAUAAAGUCUAAAGGAAUGUCCCAUAAAGGUUCCUUUUGCAGAAACCCAUUUGUCCCAGAUCACUGGGCUCUCUCAAUCGGUGUGCAAAUCAUAGCUGCUUCCUCUUGCUUGUAAAUAUCCCCAAAAAAGUGUUUAGUUGGUCCAUUCAAAACGUUUUCAUCCAAUCAAAACCCAGUUCCUUAUGGAGGGUUACGUGUGUCUGCCUUUAUGCAAUUAUCCUUAAUUCAUAUUGCAGAAGCGGUGGGCACCUUCCACUACGUCACUUCCAGCCGCAGAAAGGCCAUCUUCGUUUAGGGUACUUGCCAGCCGCCAUAUGAACCGGAUGUGACGCGUCGGAACCGGCCAUCACGUCACCUCCCCGAUCGUGCAUAUAGAUCAUUUUGGAUACUGGCAACAUUGAUCCUUUUUCUGUUUAAAUAAACCAUAGUGUGUUGAGGUAGGCAGGCAUCAGCACCAAAGCUCCCUCAGGCAGAAGAAGUGUACAUAAAACAUACACAGUAAAAGCAUUUGUACAUGUUGAUUAAAAAAAAAAAAUCAUAAAUCAUAUUAAACCAGUUUUACCAAUAUUUGAACAUUUUGUCUGUUUGGAGUACCGUAUAUACUUGUGUAUAAGUCGAUUUCGUGUAUAAGUCAAGUGCAGUUUUGUGACCAACAAUUGUGAAAUAUGCUAGGCCUCAUGGAUAAGUCGAGGGUAAAACUUGGAGCUAUGAAAUUCUGUGAUUUUUAUAAUUAUAUAUACACACACACUCAUACAAAUACACACACACACUCAUACAGUCACACAUACUCAUACAGUCACACAUACUCUGCAUUAUAUGUACACACACUCAUACAAACACUGUGAAUGCAGAGUGUGUGUGUGGUGUAUUUUAUUUUAAUAUUAUAAUUUUAUUUAUUUUUGUCCCCCUUCCCUGCUUGUUAACUGGUCAGAGGGGGGCUACGUGAAUCUCUGGUGGUCCAGUGGUAUGGGCUGUGCAGGGGGGGAGCCGGCAUGAAGCGUUUACUUACCUAUCCUGCAGCUCCCCUGUCAGCUCCCAGUGUAAAUCUCGCGGUCUGCGUAGUGCGCGGAGCAACGCUCUGAUUGCCGUGGGUCUCUAGAGACUUGUAGAGCUGACAGGAGCUGCAGGAAAGGUAAGUAAACACUUCCUGCUGGCCCCCAACAGGACCGCCGGGCUCAUAAUACAAACAGUGACUCGAGUAUAAGUCGAGUGAGGCUUUUUCAGCACAAAAAAUGUGCUGAAAAACUCAACUUAUACUCGAGUAUAUACGGUAAGUGUAAUUAAUCUUUCUCUAUCUACCUAUAGCGCUCCACUCAUAUAUAUAUGACCUGGUCUGAUGUAUUUCAAACCUAGUCGGAUAUACACCCUGUUCCAAAUUAUUAUGCAAAUUAUAUUUUUCUCAUUUAGCUAAAUAAUUGAUGCAAAUAACAGUCAGCAUAAUUCUCAUGUUAUCAACUAUUAAGAGUUAUUUAACAAACUUCCUAAUGAUAACAGUAUUUUUGGAAACAUAAAAAACUUGCAAUGCACUGUUCCAAAUUAUUACGCACAGUAAGUUUCAAAACACUUUAUAGGUUGUAAAGAACUGAAAAUUGUAAUUUGUUGUGUUUGCAGCAUAUUUACUGAAAUCAAAAACUAUUUCAAUCAAACUUAUAACAACAUUUUAACUUUUUAAACAUUUUAACAGGUCGCGUUACAUUUUAACAUAGGACCCCUUAUUUGAUAGCAGUUUCACAAAACUUGUGAGUUUUUGGACAGUUUUUGCAAGAUGUCAGAAUAGCCUCCCAGAGCUGCUGUUUGGAUGUAAACUGCCUCCCACCCUCAUAGAUCUUUUGCUUGAGGAUGCUCCAAAGGUUCUCAAAAGGAUUGAGGUCAUGGGAGGUGGAGGCCACACCAUGACUUUCUCUCCUUUUAUCCCCAUAGCAGCCAUUGAUGCAGAGGUAUUCUUUGCAGCAUGAGAUGGUGCAUUGUCAUGCAUGAAGAUGAUUUUAUUACAGAAAGCAUAGUUCUUCCUUCUGUACCAGGGAAGAAAAUGGUUAGUCAGAAACUCAUCUUUACACCUUCGGGGAUCCUAAAGGGGCCGACCAGCUCUCUUCCCAUGAUUCCGGCCCAAAACAUGACUCCACCACCUCUUGCUGACAUCGCAGCCUUGUUGGAACAAGGUGUCCAUCCACCAACCAUCCACUACUCCAUCCAUCUGGACCAUCCAGGGUUGCACGGCACUCAUGAGUGAACAGGACUGUUUGAAAAUUAGUCUUCAUGUAUUUUUCUGCCCAAUGCAGCCGUUUCUGCUUGAGCAUUGGUUAGUGGUGGCCGAAGAGUAGGUUUAUGCAGAGUUGCAAGACUCUGGAGGACUCUACACCUUGAUGUCCGUGGGACUCCAGAGGCACCAGCAGCUUCAAAUAUCUGUUUGCUGCUAUGUAAUGGUAUUGCAGCUGCUCUCUUGAUCCGAUGCAUGGAUCUGGCAGAAAUCUUCUUCAAUGUGCCUUCAUCUGCACAAACCCGUCUGUGCUCUGAAUCAGCCACAAAUCUCUUAAUAGUGCGAUGAGUACGCUUAAGUUUUCGUGAAAUAUCUAAUGUUUUCAUACCUCGUCCAAGGCAUUGAACUAUUUCACUCUUUUAGGCAGCAGAGUGAUCCCUUUUCUUCCCCAUAUUGCAUGACAAUGGUGCUCUGCUUAAUAAUGUGGAACACCCUCCUCUAGUAGUUUUUCCUUAAAUUGGGCUCACCUGGCAAUCUAAUUAUCACAGGUGUCCGAGAUUGUUUUCAGUGAUUAAAAGAGCCCUGAGACACAAUGCCAUCCAUGAGUUAAACUGAAAAACAAAAUAUUUAAUCUUUGUGACACUUAAAUAGAAUUUGCAUAAUUUUGGAACAUGGUGUAGAAAAAUCAUUACUUGAGUAAUGCAGUGUAAUGUUGGCAGCCAGUAGGGGAGGGAGGGUGAGAGGACCCGGGGGAGUUAUAAUCUGCAGCACCGCCGGGUUCUCCUCUCGUGAGCUUGAAACGUUGCCGCGGUUACCACGGCAAGGCUCCGAAUCUCGCGAGAGUGAGCAGCCCACUGUUCCCCCUCCAUUCACACAAUUGCCUUUCCCAUACAGGAACACUUUAGUAUUAGGACUACAAAGCUCAAUUGCCCCACUAUUCACACAAACUUUACCCAUCACACACACUGUGCCCCUCACACACUGUACCCCUCAUACAACCUGCCCACACACACUGCACUCCCCCAUAAGCACACUGCACCCUCACACACAAACACUCUACUCCCCAUACACAAACACACUGCCCCACCAUACACACAAUUGCCCCACACACACACACACUGCCCCUCCAUACACAGAAACUGUACCCCUCACACACACUGUACUCCUCAUACAAUCUGCACACACACACACUCUGUAUCCCUCACGCACAAGCUGCCACACGCACAUUGCACCCCACACACACACGCACACUGCACCCCCUCACACACACUACUGCCCCUAUUCCCUUCUACAGCCCAUAUCCCGACAGAUCCCAGGCAAGUUGUAAACAGUUUUACUACUUACUCUUGGAGGGCACUACUGGCACCAUAACCACUACAAAGUGCUGAAGUGGUUAUUGUGACUGGAUUGUUUUAAAUAAUCUACCAGUGCCCCUCCCAAGAUUAGGUUCUGGAUCUGCGCUUGAACGGCAAGCAUUUCUGCUGAAUAGGGGCCCAGUAUAUGCCGCUGCACUGCACAUAUAUACAACCUAGAAAAUCUUUUGACUUGGGGCGCCUUAGAAAAAUAUUAAAAUAUUAAGGGCGCCUUGAAUCUAAAAAGUUUGGGAACCACUGGGUCAUAAGAAAUUUGUGUAACAAUAAACUGUAUGUCCACUAGGAAAACAUGAACUAACGUAAUACAUUUUCUAACCAUGUAAACUUGUUACAACUCCACCUGCUGUUGGACAAAAAAAAUCAUAAAUGUUGCGCUUCAUGUUAUAUAUAAAUAUGUCCAGGCACUGAGUAGUUUAAAGACAUGGUAGUGUUAAUUGGAUCAAAGUGAACACACUUUGAUCCAAUCACUGCCAUGCUUUAAACUUCUGAGCAUCUAUAUAUAUUUGAAUAUAUUAUGUGAGGAGUCUGUGCCUGCUCCUGUUCGGCUAAGCACCAGUAGUUUUUCACAGGAGAUUAGUGCAGUCCCCUUCGCGUUAGUAUAAAUGUUGCUGUUCAAACAGGUAAAAAAUAUUUCUCCAUGCUCUGAAUUAUUUAACUUACAACCAUUCUACUUUUUUUUUUUUUUUUUUUAAACUGGUGGGGGGAAAAUGCAGUAACUCUCAGCCAACUUUUUUGUAGCUUACUAUUCUACUAGAGAAUCUGAGAGGAUGUGAAUUUUAUUGUAUUCCUUGUGAAUUGUCAAAGUGAACUUUUAAUUUGUAGACCAAAGUAGUUACAUUGUCCAAAUUCUAAUUAGUUAGGUUUCGGAUUUACUUUGGCCUACACUUUUUCACUUUCCACAUUGCUGAUUUUUAAAGGUUUUUGUUUUCUAUGGUAAAAUCCAAUGCUACGUGAUCAUUCCAUAAUAUUUCCCUUUGUACAUGAAUUCAAAAUUCACUUCCACACACCAUGUAUAGAUUUGUAUCUACACUACUUGCUGGAUAGGAAGUUGACCAUGGAGGUUUAUUGUUUCAUGGCCUGGUGGAAUGCCAUAUUUGUUUUAAGCUUCCUUCUCAACUUAGUGUAGUGGUUGAAAAGGUUUAAAAUCAGUUCGAAUCAAAGCCCUGAAAUUGUCCCCAGUAAUUGCUGUGAUUGGCAUAUGCAGUUGAGGUUAGGUAAUAUUGACAUAAGUAUUUAUUUCACAUUAUCAAAGCUCAAUUUGACUUUAGAUCUUUGGGCUUUCACAAAAUAUAGUACCAAAUCUUAUUCAUAUAGCAGGAUCCAGUGCUUCUCAGUCCGGUGUCUAACCCACAAUCAUUAAGUAUAAGAAAAAUUACUGCUCACACAAAUUGCAUCAAUACAGAAAAUCUUUCUUAAAGGAACACUUUAGUAUUAGAACUACAAAGUUUAAUUCAAUGCUUUAUGGGAGAUUUGAACGCGAUGAACUUGAGGACAUCAAGCAUCGUUUUACGGAGUCAAUCCGUGAACGAGCAGGAAGCACCUCUAGUCACUGUCUGGUAGACAGCCUCUAGAGGCAGUCUUAACCUUGCAUUAUAAACAUUGCAGUUUCUCUAAAACUACAAUGUUUUACAUUACAGGGUUAAGGGACAGUGCACACAAUGAGAUGAAGUGGGUGCCUAUAAUGCCCCUAUAAGCCUGAGAGACUUGCGUAAGAGCUGAUGUGUUGGUGUUAACAGUUUCUGAAUACACUUUCUGUGUGCUAGGUCAUCUUUCUUACACUAGAUAAAACUGGCGCAUAGAGACUUCAAGAAUCUUAGCCACUACACAAUCCUGUCAUAUUUAUUACUGUGCCUUUAACAUAGAUCCAAAUGUAGGUUUUUUUUUAUUUUUAUUAUAUAUAUUUUAUUUUAAAUUUGAUUAAUCUGUAUGUAAAAAAAUGACUUUAAUUAUUGACUUGGGUGACUAGAGGAAACUUAUAAUGUAUGCAUAGUUUCUUUACAGUGACACCUGUAUAUAUUUCGGUUUACCCCAGGGCUAUGAUUUGCUUUUCACAGUGAGCAUCUGUAAACAUCCUCGACUGGAAGCUGUGAAGCAACUGAGGGGCUUUCAGUCGGAUGUUUGCAGCUGCCAACUGCUGCACACUUCAAGGAUUUUAGCAAGCCGUUCAAUGUACAAAUUCCUUUAUUUCAAAAGUAUAUUAUAUUAACUUGACCCAACAACAUUUUUAAACUAUUGAUUUUUGGUUUCAUCAUGCUUGUAGAUGACACUCAUGGAAAAACUGGCUGAAACACUAUUGGACCCAUGGUGAUUCUUCACUGAAGCACGGGCCACGGGGAAUUCCACCAUUCUUUAAAUCAGACUGGUGUACAGUUUUGAAACUUGUUAAUGGAGAGUGCUUUAACAGCUUGGAUAUUGAAUGCUGCCAACUCCCACACUCCUUAAUCCGAUUUCCUGAACUUUGUUCUCUGUAACUCAUACAAGGUUCAUGACCAGAAGUCUAUAAUCCUGUCAUGUUUUCCUGAUGGCUUGUUGCAGGUUUGGUAUAUAUUCAAGUUUUUUUGGUUUUGUUUAGUGUUUGUGUCAAUUCCCAUUCUAUAUAUUUGUAGCUUUUACACGUAGUAUAAAAAUGGAGAUUGCUUCUAUAUUUGAGAACUUUAGUGUCAGUCAGUUCUAAACUAAGAUCUAUUUUUAUUCCCCAUUACAAUCCCACAUUUUGUGCUAAUUUGCUACCUCCGAGUAGUACAGAAGCCCCCACUGGGGUGAAUCUGACUCACACUAAC